CUUCGUGGCGGUACGCUUUGAACGUGUGUUUCAUGUGGUUUUUCUCGAGCCACUGCUUCGUGACGUGUUUAGUGUAUAAAGUAUGUUCUCUCUCUAUGUGUAGUUUUAUUGGUAAUUAAUUUAAAACUUGUAGAAAGUGUCGGUAUAUAAUAUUUAGUGCGGUAUUGGAUAUUACCGGUUGAAAUAAAAACCAUAAAAGUGAAGUGUCGUGUUUGAAGCGUAAUUUGGAGUGAAAACGUAUUAUUGCCACAUUCUGCUGUCAAAGUAAAAACUUGGCGUAGUACCAGCAGUAACGAAUUCUGCCAGCUUUAAUAAGUGACAGAAGUCAAGUCAAGUGGAUGGGACGUCUAUGGAACUGAGGUUCAUUUAAAUGAACAAAUGAAACGAAGCACUUCAACAUAAUAAACAAAAGGUGA